GUCAUGUGCAACUCUGGUGUAUGCAACCAUAGUAACUGCUCCUCUCGGUUGUGAUCAGUGAAUAAAAUGUGUUGCCUUGGGAACCUGUGAGCUAUGACUAAUUAAUUGAGUGCAGAAAGGGAGCACUUAAAGGGCGCAGACCACACGCUCCCUAAUAUGGUUUGUUAUUUAAUAAAUUGCUGUAUUGGCAAUAAAUUAAAUAAUGGUCUUGCAAAGGGGACCGCAGCCUCUCUUGAGCCCGACCGCAACCUUUACAACCC